rnacentral:rRNA from 1 species
CCUACGGGCGGCAGCAGUGAGGAAUAUUGGUCAAUGGCCGGAAGGCUGAACCAGCCAAGCCGCGUGAAGGACGAAGGUGCUAAGCAUUUUAAACUUUUUCUGUCAAGGGACAAAAUCAGGCUCGCGAGCCUGACCGAGGGUACUUGAAGAAAAAGCAUCGCCUCACUCGGUGCUAGCAGCCGCGGUAAUACGGGGGAUGCGAGCGUUAUCGGGAUUUAUUGGGUUUAAAGGGUGCGUAGGGGGAAUUUUAAGUCAGCGGGAAAAGCCCGGGGCUCAAACUCGGCGAGCCGUUGAUACUGGCAGUCUUGAGUUGACGAGAGGUAUGCGGAAUGCGUAGUGUAGCGGUGAAAUGCUUAGAUAUUGCGCAGAACUCCGAUUGCGAAGGCAGCAUGCCGGCGGCGAUCUGACGCUGAGGCACGAAAGCGUGGGUAUCGAACAGGAUUAGAUACCCCGGUAGUC